rnacentral:rRNA from 1 species
GACAGAGGGUGCGAACGUUGCUCGGAAUUACUGGGCGUAAAGCGUGUGUAGGCGGCCACGCAAGUCGGAUGUGAAAGCCCUGGGCUCAACCCAGGAAGUGCACCCGAUACUGCGCGGCUCGAGUACCGGAGAGGUUGGUGGAAUUCUCGGUGUAGAGGUGAAAAUUCGUAGAUAUCGAGAGGGAACACCGGUGGCGAAGGCGGCCAACUGGGACGAGUACUGACGUGAGACACAAAAGCGUGGGGGAGCAAACAGGGAUUAGAUCCUUGU